CAUUGGUUACAUUAUUAAACAUAACAGGCAACAUCAAGAAAUUCUUACUGUCUCCAAUGACCAGUCAGGUGUUCCUGCUACAUGAUGGUCAUAAAGAUCUCCAGCUACUAAGUAUGAGGCUCUCAGUUAACACACUACAGAAUGUUUUCAGUGAAGAGAGGAGUUCAGAUUGUAAAUGCAUGACAACUCCCAGACUGGGC